AACGAACGCUGGCGGCAGGCCUAACACAUGCAAGUCGAACGCCCCGCAAGGGGAGUGGCAGACGGGUGAGUAACGCGUGGGAACCUUCCCUUUGGUACGGAAUAAUUCACCGAAAGGUGGACUAAUACCGCAUACGCCCGAGAGGGGAAAGAUUUAUCGCCAAAGGAUGGGCCCGCGUUGGAUUAGCUAGUUGGUGAGGUAACGGCUCACCAAGGCGACGAUCCAUAGCUGGUCUGAGAGGAUGAUCAGCCACACUGGGACUGAGACACGGCCCAGACUCCUACGGGAGGCAGCAGUGGGGAAUAUUGGACAAUGGGCGCAAGCCUGAUCCAGCCAUGCCGCGUGAGUGAUGAAGGCCUUCGGGUUGGUUAAAGGACGU
rnacentral:rRNA from 1 species